rnacentral:misc_RNA from 1 species
UUCCCAGUGUUCAAUCAAUAGCAAAAGUGUAAAAAUCAUUUGAAAAUUUGGGGAAAAUGGCUGACGGUGUAAAUUUCGAUUCCGAGUGGAGAAUUUUAUGAAAAUUAUUAAUUAGAAUUGAUAAAAUAUGCCGCGGUAUCAAAUGAACAAUUCUUCGCUAACUUAAAUUUAUAGUGAAUAAAAAACCGAAGAACCGUAACGCAAAAGAAGAAUUGACUAAUCAAAAUGGAAGAAUUUAAAAUGAUGAAUAAUUCUGCAUACGAUACAAAUGUGGUACAUCAGAAUCAAACCGCUAUUCCACAUCAGGCACAUCCUGGACAUACGCCACAUCAUACAAAUAUGCCACCAGCUAUUAGUGGCUUUUUUCAUCCACAUGCUUCGACACUACCAAUAGCUGCUCAUCAGCAUGCACAAUUGCAACAUCCCGCGGUCAGUACUGGUGGGAGUAAUGACCGACAAGUUGCUGCCAAUUCGACGGCCGCUGCUGCUUCUCAUGCUACUGGCCUUUUCGAUCAGGGUCAAAUGCAAUUGACCAAUACUAUGGAAAAAUCGUUCUUUAAUGGAAUGCAAACAUCUGACACAAGCUUCUUUAGUGGAGUGCCACCAAAUGUGACAACUUCAGCAGCAAACUCAGUUCAUCAAAUAACAUCACAACAGCCACAUCAACAACAAAGCAAUACAAUAUUAAUAACAAAUAACUUUUCUGCCCAUCAGUAUGGAAGUACAAAUUCACAGUUACCCGAUGUUUCGUCACAGAUGCUUCCUCGGACAAUCGGAGACAUUGUUAGUGGUGUCACAACAGCAGGUGCCGCAGCUCCUGGUAGUUAUAACAAUGCCAAUGCUGCCAACAUUCGCAUUAUUACAACACUCCCCAGUACGUUACACCAGCCCCAGAAGCAACAAAACCAGCCAAUGUAUAACAUUGGUAAAGAAGUCGAAGCAUCUGUGCAUGAGGACAUAAUACAACUGCCACAGUUUUACCAUACGCCACAUCAGCAACCGUCAGCUUAUGCUCCGCAUUUGUCAACAUUAUUACCGUCCCAUUUCACCCAACAGCAUUACGCCGCGACAGGUACUGCUCCAGCUUCUUUACAGUUACAACAAGAUGAUUUGCAACAACAGCACCCGUUUUUUGUGCCAUUAACAAAUAAUGGUGGUGGUGUCUCACCAACUGCAGCCGUUCUUACAGCUACACCUAAACUCAUGACGACACUUACUUCUGAAGAUAAACCUGGUAUUGAUGCAGUAACCACCUCACCAGCAAUGAUUACUUCGCCAGGAACCACCACAAGCACGAAUUCAACUCUUGUAUUGGAUCGUAUUAACAUUUGUAUAAAUAAUCACUACUCCGACUCCCUACCCCUGAAUAACGGGUUAUCAAACACAUUAGAUUGUAUUGGCACCACCACAACUGCUGCAACAACACCAGUUGCUCACACAUUUUCGAUGGCUACGCAUGCUCCACAACAGCCAUCGCCCAUUAUACCAGCUAUACAUCACAAAGUGUUGCUGGAUUCAGCUAGUAGCGGUGGCGCCGGGGGAGUUCUAAAUACCGAUUCUUAUACCAGCCAAGAUUCUACUUUGGUAAUAGACGAACCCGACUCAACUACCACAACACCCCAUACUCCACCGACUACGCCAGAAAAUAAUUCACCGCCGUCACCGCCAACGAAUUUGGCAUCUACAAGAUCAGCAAUAGUACCACAAUCAAUAUUAGCUCAAAAUAUAAUUGGAGAAACAGUCGUUGCUGGAAAAGAGAACUAUUCUGCAGCUCAAACAACAGUUUGUGUGUCCUCAUUUAAGGCGUCAAUAAAUAAAGCACAACACAAAAUGUCAACUUGUACAUCCGGUCAAUCUAUUACUACAAUAUUAAUUGACGAUGAAAGCGACUAUAUAAAAAGCGGCUUGGAAAAGGAUGCAGAUUCUGGAAGAGGUGGGACUGCUGGAAACACUCUGAACGAAAGUGUUAUGGAAAUAGAAGAUAAUGAGGUGGAUGACUUAUCAACACAGGAUACUGUAAGCAUGAUGAACAAUACCAAAUCUGGAGACAUCACGGAUCUACGUCCAAUACACCAAGAGCUUGGUAUUGCUAAGUUGGAUGAAUCCAAAGGAGAAACCGUUAUGCAAGAAUCACAGUUGGAUUCUCCCCCAUCGCCCACACCAGGAAAACCCGUUGAAAUAAUAUCAAAUGAAACUUCCUUAUCAGUCACAAUCCUCACUCCACCAACGCCCACAAGUUCAUCAGCAACCUCAGACGAUGAGCUGAAAAGUAUAAGCUCUAAAGAGAUCAGUUUCGCCAUGGGUGAGGAUGUGUUUAUUCGCAAAGAAGAUAGUCGCCAGUAUCUUGGCACAGUGAUCGGAAGUAGCGCUGGUGGUGGACUGAACAAGCCACAAUAUAUUCAGUAUUUGAUCCGCUUUGAUGAUAACUCAGAGUUAUGGUGCGGCAUUGAGGACAUGAGGCGGUUUGGCGGUAGUGGUGGAAGCGGUAACGCGCAAAUGUGUGUAGCUUGUAAGCGCCCUCAAGUACAAGACGUGGUGGAAACUUGUGAAGAUUGUAGGCGUGGUUAUCACCGGGGCUGCACUAGAGAAACAAAACCGGGCAGUGGUGUAUGGUGGUGUUUACGAUGCAGCAAGCCCAUGAAGAACCCAAUACACGAAGCCCACAAGGCUGCUAGCAAGCCAUUAUUGCAGCACAACAGGAGUUAUAAGAACACUGGUGAUAUUUCCAAGACAUUGGCUUCUCAAAAACUGAAAACUCCAGCAGAUGUUUAUGAAUUUCACAUUGAGGAUAGCGAGACAUUUACUUCAGAUGAUGAAAUUCCCAUAAAACAUAUUAUGGAAAAAGCACGAAAAAGUAGGGACCCAACUCAAAACUCCAAUGCCAUUAGUAUCCGGCCGAAGUCAAUCAAGAAGCGCAACAAUUUCGAUGAUAUGUUAUGUGAAGAAAUUGUGUCUCUGGAUGACGAGAACGCAAAUGAUGCAAACAGUGUCAGCAAAAUGCCAGUGUCCUCCCUAAUGGAUAAAGUUAAAGAAAAAGGCCUGCAAAAUGGCAUGUCAUCUAAACCAUCUAAAUGUGCUACUAGUCUUAACCAAGGCAAAGAAAGAAUUGAUACUGGUGGGAUAAUCCAUGAUAGUGUUCUUGUACCUCAAACAGUUGACCACAAAAGUACUUCAUCUGUUUUCAUAAAAGAGUCAUCAGUAACAACAGAGCGCAGCAGUCGUAAGCGCAAGGCAUUCACAUUAUCAAAUUCCUACAAGGAGGUUGCCGCUGAAGCAGCAUCAAAGCGCUACGAUAGCAGUCGCAUCUGUGACUCCUCUUCUGAUGAAAACUCGUCAAGUAGCCGCGGUACUUCCCUGGAUGUCAUCAUACCGCCGCCGAAAAACUUUCUUGGUCUUAAUAAUCCCUUUCGAAUGGUUACACCUAAGAAGAACUCGUCCGCAUCACAUGCAGGCGGUGGUGUCAAAAGCUUACUAAGCUUCAAUUGCAAUGGCACAAUGAUUAAAAGCAGUAUUUUUAAUACAACAGCCUUGGAUUUCAGCUCCAAGUUGGCAGCGCUUAAAAGCGCUGGCAUGUUCCCAAACCUUAGUACAAGUAAUUUAGCCAAGGCUGCCGGCCAGCCCCGGACAGUGCGCACGAUCAAGAGAAGACUGAGUGCCAAAGAUAUAACAAUCGGCCCAAACCAAGAGGUGCGUAGAAGAAGAACUCGUCGCCUAUCCUCCAAUGUAGAGGUUAUUAGUACAACCACAAUCAAUCCCAUUCCCAGCAAUUUCUUCCCAAUACAUGCCAAAGAUUUGCUUUCUACACAUACACAUCUCAUUACGAGCGGCUCUAAGAAUAUGUCAUUACAAAGCAAACAACAAAAAGCAGCCGCAUCCGUAUUCGUUUCUUCAACAUCCUCGUCCGCGUCGGCCUCGGCGUCUUCAUCACCACCUGGUUCAGUGACUUCAAGUGUGGAAUCGCAAGUCGAAGUUUUACCACCAUGUAAACCGUCGCACGGACGCCGUUUAAGGCAGCGCCCACAAAAGAAUUCUCCUGUCAACAGUCGCCGCAGUUCAAUCUCAAGCGCAAGCACGGCUUCUUCGACUAACUCCUCCAGCAACAUUACAUUAGCUGCAUUGCAGCAACAACAGCAAGCAAUACGUACCAGCGGUAAUACAAAUACGGGCAGUGCAAAUGCGACUAGUAUGCAAGAUCUGAAACAAUCAGUUAAAGAAUAUUUCGGUGGAGUAAUGAACCGUAUCGAAUCUGGCGAGCAGUUUUGCAUCCGCGCUAAAAGACAAUUGGCAAGUGGACAGAUGCAAUAUCUGAUUGAAUGGGGGGAUGUUACUGGGGCAUUGCAGCAACCACAAACAACACCGACAUCCAGCACAACAGCAGCGUCGUCGGCAUCUGCAACUGAAACAGGAGAAGUCGAUCAAUAGAGAAUCAGUGCUUUUAAAGGGGCGUUAAAUUGGUUUUAAAGCCCUAAAUUUCGGGUUACGUCUUCGGCAUGUAAUUGUGGAUUUGCAAAUUUAAAGUUAAGCCGUUUUCAUUGUGGAUAGUUAAGGGGAUUCGGCAGUUAACUGUAGAUUUUCAAGAUAAAAAUGGUAAGUUAGGUGCCGAUUGUGAGUUAACUCUUAACUAUGUAUGUCGUAAAUCGCGUUAAUUGGCUGUUAUUUUAUUUCCAGUUUUAAAAAUACAUUAGCAAAUCAAUUUGCAAAAAAAAAACAAAAUUUAUUUAAAAUGUUUUCUAUGGUUUUCUUAGCAGGAAGAAGUAACUUGAUUUGCGAUUUUAGAAUUUAUUAUUUAUUGUUUGGAAUCAACGACAGUGGUAUUUUUUUAAAUUCAAGUCCUUUUUAUUUUAUUUGUUUGCCUGAUCAUUAUUUACUGCCUUAAUUAUAAAUUAUCUAUUCUUGAAAUCUUUCUUAACAAAAUACAGGUUUGAACGUGCAAUGGCUGAAUUAGUUAUAAAACCAUACAAGUAUAAACUAUCAUAUGUAUAUAAAUGUGAAGGUGAAUAUUGCAAGAUUUAAGUUACUGUUCACUGCUGUGUUACUGCAAGAUUGAAAUGCAAUUCUUCAAAGCUCAAAUGACCCCUAAAAGAUAUAUGUAUGUAUGUAUGUAUGCCAAGUUAGCACCUGUUAAUCAUAUAAAAACUGAACUGAAUAUACUAAAAACUGAGGUUAAGAAGUUGUGGGGAAUUCAUUUAGAUUUAUAAUUAAAAUAACGGCUUGGUAAGCCCCUAGCCGAUUCCAUUUGCAUAGCACACAAAAUAAAUCGCAAAAAAAUUUCCUUAUUACAUAUGUACAUAUUUGGAAUUUCAUUGAAACUUGUAUUUUUUCUUAGACGAUUUGGAUAAAAAAGUUGCUGUUAUUUUAAAAACAGGCAAUGGAUUUAAAUGGAAUUAAUAAACAAUUUUAUGAGUAUUAUAAAUACAAACAUUUUUAAUUUGAAUAAAUCAUUAAUUAAGUUCGAGUUUAGUAUAUAUUCUGUAUGUAUAUUUAUGUAUUUGAGGAAUAAUAAUAAUAAAUAUG